CCUAUUUCCCUAUAAGAAAGACUUCCUUAUUACUGUUAUAUGAUGGACCAGGUGAUCAUUUAUCUGGUUUGAGCUACAGUCACUUGUUAUGUGGCUCGGUUCACUCAGCUUUGACUCCAAGUAUAGAAGUUUAUGCAACAGCUGAAAAAAGAAAACGUAGACACACUCCAUCUGACAGCUCAGUUUGGCUACUUCUUCAGAAAAUGAUAUUAAGUUUAAACAUUAAAUGCUGAACAUUGUUACCUGAACAAUGAUUUUUUUUUUUUUUUUUUUGCUCAGGUAACAAAAACAUUAUCUUCACUGUAAGCUUUUCUGCUUAAAGGGCAGUCGCUUCUGUGAUAGUUACAGCAAUGUAAAUGGGCCAUCAUAUGCGUUAAAGUGUAGUUCACUUCUUUUUGGUCAUGUUGUCACCGUCUAGCAGGACCAGUGAAGCUAGCGAUAGCUGAUAAUAUACCAAGGCUCUGUUUCUUAAAGGAGCUUAAAUGAGUUGAUAAAAGUCCCUCCUUCUCUAAAGGUAAGCUAAAAUUAUUCAUAUCGUGAGAGACACUGUCAGAGACAGAUUCUCCUGUGUGGGCUUGUUGUUGGAUCACACUAUGAAUCCCCUUGUUACGGGUGGAUCGGAAAAAAGGGUACUUUUGAAGUUCAAAAUAUGGUUUUGCAGUUAUUUUCAUGCUAUUUAAAAUUGAAAACAGUUAAAAAAAAAAAGUAUAUUUUCUCAAUUCAAAUGUUAAAAAGUAUUUUAUUAAGCUUGCUUACUCUGAAUUAAGAUUUCUCGAUGAUUGCCUCCAUUAGCCAUUCACCGCUGCCAUUCAGCACAUGGUGUGUGCUGUACAAAGUGUACAGGCAAUAAGUUUAACAGGAAUUUGAGAGACAACUGUAUAUGUUAAUAUGUUAUGAUUGUUCCUCUUUGUGCAGAAAACGCCAAAUGAAAUACCUUUGUGUUUAUACUUGUUUAUAUUCACCUGCAAGAUAUCACUUGCACACAUUUUAAUCCUAAUUAUUUAAAAAAUAUACUAUAUCAAAUUUUGUAUCAAAUUGUGUCAAAUGCAUUCAACGUUAUUGUUACUGACACAGUGAUAACUACAGUGUAGCACUCCAAAGUUUCUUUCACUAUAGUAUGUAUGAAGGUGGAGGCCAGCCUCCUGCGUAGGUAGGAUGUCAUGUGUGGGGUUUCCCAGACGGCUGCUGCUUUGCCAUUUAUUAGAAAAAUAGACAGGGAGAGCCCCUUUUUGGAUCCUGCUUAAUCACCGUUUUUGUCCCUCAUAAUCUUCUUUCUUUUUCCAUGCAAUAUUUCAUACAGAAGUGCGGAGUCAUUCUUUCAUUGUGCAGUCGAAGCAAUGGAAAUGUAAAAGUCGGAGCCUUCAAAAAAGUGUAAUGUAAGAACAAACAAGUUUGUAUCCUUAAACUAAAAUGGAAACUCGCUGGUUUUCUCUGUGGUUUGGUGGUUGAUAACGCGCCGUUCACGUUACAGUAAUGAUUCAGUACACUCCGAAAGGACACCGUAAACUCACUGUCAGUUUGUCCAGAAGUUGCGCACCUUAUUUUUUUUCCCCUGAUGCUACAUGGUGUAUUAAUAGUGUCUUAAACAAACACAUCCGCACCAACCAGCAUGAAUCUUAAUUUUUGACCCGUCCCUUACUCUGACGGUCUUCCCCCGCUAAAGCAGUGCAGCAAACCAACGGAGGGUGGGAGCUGAGGUGACCACAUCCACAAUCUGAUAAAUUUGAACAGAAAUACACUUUAUCUUUACGGAUUAUUUUGACACUGAACUCACUGUCAGCAUAUGACACUUUAUGUUUUGUGACUCCCAAGUGAUGUGUUUUUUGCAGACACAAAGGGAAUUAUUAGCUUAUCAUAGUUGGGUAAAACUUUACUAGACGGAUGAGUACAUAACAAUUCAUAGCAGCUCUCAAAGUAUUCAUGACUGUUUCGUAAGACGUAACGCAACAUUCAUAGCCAACCUUUUGUAAAUGUGGAGGACAGAAUGGCGAUAACUUGUCAAAAUAAAAGUCCAACAAGUUGGUCAUUGCCGCUCUGUUGCGAUGUUCCACCAAUACCCUUGUGCGCAUGCGUCUGCAUUACGCUUCUGACGUGCUUUCUAAUCGAGCUACUUGGAAUUACUUUCUCUCUGACUUCGGCAUUCGCCAGAGCUGGAUCGUGUUUCAGUGAUCCAAGACCAACGGAUAUCACCACCUCAAACGCCUCCAUAACAAUUAGUUCUGAGGAUAACGUUUAAUCUUUUUUUUAAAAUUCUUAUUUAUUUAUUUACUUAUUUUUUCAGUUCAGUUCAUAUCUUGUUCUUGUCAUAUUGUUGAUACAAUGUUGUUGCCCAUUUAAUUUGUGCUGUAAAAAGAGCCUGACAAUUGGGUGGAAACAUGGUUGUGUGUACUU